UGAAAUGCAGUGCUUCUAACUAGAUGGAGCCAGCUGGUUGCGUGACACUGUGAAUCUAUUGAACGCCGCAGAUUCGUGCUUUAGAACGGUCAAGUUUAUAUUUUGUGUACUCUAGCACAAUACUAAUUUUAAAAAUCCAAACCAGUAUUUGUGAAGUCAUUGAUCAGGAUCAUACCUAAGACUUAGUCAUGCAUAUUUAAGUGAGUUAUUUUUUGUCACAUUAUAUUAAGAGAAACAACAAACACCAGCAGCGAAAUAGCACCCCGAACAACAAAUAUUUAAGCUUAUUUAACAAAAACAAGGAGUGUAGGCAUUUUGUUUCUUCAACAGAAAAGUACGAUAAUUCUAACAAAACGAACACACAGAGUGAAAAACCGUUUUUCAUUGUAACUACGGAACGUGCUGUUGCAUUUCCGUAGACUAUGCCGAGGGAAGGGGAGAGGUCUGGAAUAUCAGGUCACGAGGCUGUCUUCCCCCUGCUCUCUUUCUCUUUGUUUACUGAUGAGGGAGGGAAGACAAUCCUGCAGCCUCUUCAAGUCCUGGGAGCCUUCUCACUUCAGCAGCAUUAAAACCACGCGGACACGGACAGAGGGAGCGAUUGCCUCGCUGGCUGCCACCCAACCUCUUCGCUCGCCCCUCGGGACCACCCGCAGCCAGCGGACGAGGGACAAAUCAUUGCCCCCACAGGCUGUCUGACCCUGAAGGCUCCCCUCUGUGCCAAACCCUGGAAUGGGCCCUGGGGAAACCAAGUCAGAAAGAAGGCCUGGUGCCUCCCUCAGAAAUCUCGAAGUCUGGCAACCAGGUGCAAGAGGUGCUCUGGAAGAAGCCAUGGGCUUUCAGGGGAAGGAGCCUGUCACCUAGGUCACCUAGCCUGGCAGAGCAGGAGGAGGGAGCAUCCUUGAAGACAGCUUUCCGAAGGAGGGGACACCUGACUGGAGACAUGGUGAUGGACCAGAAUCUCAUGGACGGGGUGUGAACCCAGGAGACUGAGAAGGGUACUUGUUUUUGUGUUGGAGAUCAAAGGUAAGGUGCUAUUUGAUAGAAAUUCUCUGCUGCUCUCAAAACAAACAAAACCUGCUUAAAAACCAGUAAUUUCAUGAAGACCCAGGUGCCAAGUGGCACAGAGAGGCAGAGGGGGAUGACGCUUCGAGAUUGGCAAAGACAAAGCUCUGUACAGAAGUGGUGUUUAAACCCCGUUUUGGUCAAUUUGAAUAGAUAAAAGUCACUGUUUGUAAACUGGAAUUGUAAAUGAAAGCUCAAAAAAUCCAAGCCUCAAAGGAGAAAAUUGUAAUCAAAAUUCGUUUUUUUUUCUUUUCAUGUAAUCUUUAUUUUUUUUAAUUUAAUUUUUUAUUUUUUUAAAUUUACAUCCCAAUUAGUUAGCAUAUAGUGCAACAAUGAUUUCAGGAGUAGAUUCCUUAGUGCCCCUUACCCAUUCAGCCCAUCCCCCCUCCCACAACCCCUCCAGCAACCCUCAGUUUGUUCUCCAUAUUUGUGAGUCUCUUUUGUUUUUCCCCCUCCCUGUUUUUAUAUUAUUUUUGUUUCCCUUCCCUUAUGUUCAUCUGUUUUGUCUCUUAAAGUCCUCAUAUGAGUGAAGUCAUAUGAUUUUUGUCUUUCUCUGACUAAUUUCACUUAGCAUAAUACCCUCCAGUUCCAUCCACGUAGUUGCAAAUGGCAAGAUUUCAUUCUUUUUGAUUGCUGAGUAAUACUCCAUUGUAUGUAUAUACCACAUCUUCUUUAUCCAUUCAGCCAUCGAGGGACAUUUGGGCUCUUUCCAUAUUUGGCUAUUGUUGACAGUGCCGCUAUAAACAUUGGGGUGCAUGUGUCCCUUCGAAACAGCACACCUGUACCCCAUGGAUAAAUGCCUAGUAGUGCAAUUGCUGGAUUGUAGGGUAGUUCUAUUUUUAAUUUUUUGAGGAACCUCCAUACUAUUUUCCAGAGUGGCUGUACCAGCUUGCAUUCCCAUCAAAAUUCAUUUUUAAAAGAUGAUCAGGGGAGCCUGGGUGGCUCAGUCAGUUUAGCACCAACUUUGGCUCAGGUCAUGAUCUCACGGUUCAUGGGUUCGAGCCCCACAUGGGGCUCUGUGCUUGCAGCUCGGAGCCUGGAGCCUGCUUUGGAUUCUGUAUCUGUCUCUCUGUCCCUCCCCUGCUCACACUCUGUCUCUCAAAAAUAAAUAAGCAUUAAAAAAAAUUAAAAAUAAAUGAAUAAAAGGUGAUCAACACACAACCCUUUUGGAUUUACACACAUUAGAGGUAUUCCAAACUCAUUUGUUUGGGAAGAUGAAAACAGGCAUCGCUACUCAGAGCACAGAUGAGUUUUUCCGGAAGCUCACCUGGAAAUGCAAUUGUAUGAUGUCCAUGAAGUUAGGAGUAAGUAUUGAGCAAGUAGAAACACUGGGAUGGAGUGUGUGCUUGUCUCACUCAAACCUUUCUCCUGCAAGAGAAUUCUGUUCCCACCUUGCUGGCAGGAUGGAGCUACUCCCCACUGCUUGGGGGAGCCUUCUCUCCUGCUUUUGCCUUUCCCCUAACUUUGAGCUCCAUUUUGUUGUCUCAAGGAAAACCACAGUGGCUGUCUUUCUGUUCUGCCCCUGACAAGGAAGCCUGUCCUUGGAAAGGGCAGAACUCAGACCAGCUCCCUCGUUUACAGAAGCGGGGCUAGUGACUUGCCUGGGUCACCUUGACUUACACAGCUGGGAUAGAGGCAGCAGAUCUGAUGUCUGGUUAGGAGUUUUUUCCUUUGCAUCCCAAGUGCCUAAGACCAACCUGAUGCGACUGUGCGUGUAGGAAAUUGCCUUGGAACAUCUCAUGACCAAGUCCCCAGAAAGUUCUCUCUGGGUCACUGACAGAACUUAGUUCCCGUGAUGUGAAAACCACAGGAAUGGUGAAUUUGCAGAAUAUUCUGUGGGGUUUUUUUUAUGGCUAUAAUCUGAUGAAUAAAAGAGAUUUUAAAAAAUAAUAAUUAUUUGCAUAAAUACCCUGGCUUUUUUAUUAGAGUCUAACCUUUUUGAGGGUAGAGAACGUGUUACAUUCAUUUCUAUAAAGUCUAUAAUUCCCUCUCUACUCACACUUGAUGUCCAAUAAGUAUUCCUUGUUUGAUUGAAUAGGGAUGGCUCUGAAUUGAAGCCUGGAUUGAAAAAUUCAAAGCAAUGGCAGGAUUUUUCUUACCUCUGACUUUUAGCCCUUUUUCUCCCUGUGACCAGGCCUCCUGGAAGUUUUCCUCUUCUCUCUCAAACUUUUUCUCUGUGACACUCAUUGGAUAUCUCGUCGCAUACAGCCUUUUCCUGUUUCUUACUUCAUAUGCAACAUUUAAUUUUCCCAGCAAGGUUGUCCUCAAAGGUCAGGCUAAUGUUUCCUGUGCUAUGAUAUCCAAGUCAGUACGUGGUACCGUGCUAGGCCCAUAGACAAAUUCCAAAGACUAUUGAAAAGAACAGCUUCAGAACUGGUAAGAAUCUACAUGAUGCUUUUAGAUAACAUUUUAUUUUUUAAGUUCUCUCUCAGAAAUUAUUCCUUUUGUGGGGCACCUGGGUGGCUCAGUCCGUUAGCGUCCAACUUCAGCUCAGGCCAUGAUCUCACAGUUUGUGAGUUCGAGCCCCACGUCGGGCUCUGUGCUGACAGCUCAGAGCCUGGAGCCUGCCUCAGAUUCUGUCUCCUCUCUCUGCCCCUCCCCUACUUGUGCUCUGUCUCUCAAAAAUAAAUAAAUAUAAUUUUUAAAAUUUUAAAAAAAGAAAUUCCUUUUUUGACAACAUAACACGUUUUUAAUUUUCAAAUUUUAUUCAAAAUAGUUUUUUAGUUGAUGUACUUUAUUUUUCAUUGUGAACUUUACAUAACAUGAAAGAUACCAUCUUAACCAUGUUUAAGUGUAUGGUCCAGUGGUAUCGAGUACAUUCAUAUCGCUAUAUACUUAUGUCCAGAACUUUUCUCAUCUUACAAACCUGAUACUCUGUAUGCAUCAAAAAAUAACUCCCUAUAUUCCUCCCUCCCCAGCUCCUGGUAAGCACCAUUCUACUUUUUGUGUCUCUAUAAAUUUGACUAACUUAGUGGUUUAUGUUAGUGGAAUGGUACAGUUUUUAUAUUUUCGUGACUGGCUUGUUUGACUUAGUAUGAUGUCUUUCAUCCACACUGUAGUAAUGUCAGGAUUUCCUUUCUUUUUAAGGCUGAGUACUAUUCCAUUUGUAUGUUUAUGUCACAUUUUGUUUAUUCAUCCCUCCACCAGUGGACAGAUUAGGAUGGAUUGGGUUGCUUCCACCUCUUGGCUGUUGUGAUUAAUGCUGGUGUGAAUAUGGAUGUACAGAUAUCUAUCCCAGUCCUUGUUUUUAAUUUAUUCAGGUAUAUACCCAGAGAUGUAAUUGCUGGAUCAUAUGGUAAUUCCAUUUUUAAUUUUUUGAAGAACCUCCAUACUGUUUUCCAUAGUGGCGAUGUCAUUUUACACUCCUACUGGCAGGACACUAGGGUUCCAAUUUCGCCACAUCCUUGCCAAUGCUUGUUGUUUUCUGUUGUUUAUGUCUUUGUUUCUAAUGGUCAUCCUAAUGAGAGUGAAGUGGUGUCUUAUGGUGGUUUUGAUUUGCAUUUCCCUGAUGAUUAGUGAUGUUGAGCAUCUUUUCUUGUACUAAAUGGCCAUUUUAAUUUUUUUUUUAUUUUUAGUGUUUAUUUUUGAGAGAGAGAGAAAGAGAGACGCAGUGUGAGCAGGGGAAGGGCAGAGAGAGAGGGAGACACAGAAUCCGAAGCAGGCUCCAGGCUCUGAGCGGUCAGCACAGAGUCCGACGCGGGGCUCGAACUCAUGAACUGUGAAAUCAUGACCUGUGCCAAAGUUGGAUGUUUAACUGACUUAGCCACCCAAGUGCCCCUAA